rnacentral:ncRNA from 1 species
UGACCAGGGGGCUGGGCAGCUCUGAUCGAUGCAAUAUCGGAGCCGCCUAGGGGUACAAGGAGUACCUCCGCACAGGGCCGGGUCAGGAAAGCA